UGCCUAUGAUGAUAUGAAUGCACGUAUUAUCAGAUAUUAUCUCAUGAUGAUAUCUAUCUAAUUGUCACUACCUCUGAGGCA
rfam:Jatropha curcas cultivar GZQX0401 scaffold328_56, whole genome shotgun sequence.